rnacentral:rRNA from 1 species
CCCCAUAACAUUGCGAGGUGGCAUUACUUUGCAAUUAAAGUUACGGCGCUUAGAGAUUGGUGUGCGUCUGAUUAGCUAGUUGGCGGGGUAAAGGCCCACCAAGGCGACGAUCAGUAGGGGGUGUGAGAGCAUGACCCCCCACAUGGGUACUGAGACACGGACCCAACUCCUACGGGAGGCAGCAGUAAGGAAUAUUGGACAAUGGGCGAAAGCCUGAUCCAGCAACGCCGCGUGAGGGAUGACGGCCUUCGGGUUGUAAACCUCUUUCAGUAGGGACGAAGCGCAAGUGACGGUACCUACAGAAGAAGCACCGGCCAACUACGUGCCAGCAGCCGCGGUAAUACGUAGGGGGCGAGCGUUGUCCGGAAUUAUUGGGCGUAAAGGGCUCGUAGGCGGUUUGUCGCGUCGGGAGUGAAAACUCAGGGCUUAACCCUGAGCCUGCUUCCGAUACGGGCAGACUAGAGGUAUGCAGGGGAGAACGGAAUUCCUGGUGUAGCGGUGAAAUGCGCAGAUAUCAGGAGGAACACCGGUGGCGAAGGCGGUUCUCUGGGCAUUACCUGACGCUGAGGAGCGAAAGUGUGGGGAACGAACAGGAUUAGAUACCCUGGUAGUCCACACCGUAAACGUUGGGCGCUAGGUGUGGGACUCAUUCCACGAGUUCCGUGCCGCAGCUAACGCAUUAAGCGCCCCGCCUGGGGAGUACGGCCGCAAGGCUAAAACUCAAAGGAAUUGACGGAAUCGAAUUCCC